UCAAGCUCUACGUGAUGAAGUUGGCAAACUUGGGUUGUCAUACUCAAUUGAUGGAAAGUAUUACAGGGUGAGAAAUAAGAAAUGAAGAAAAGGAAAGAAGAAAAGAAUGCGUAAAUGUGUAUUGGGGAAGAAAUGAAAUUGAUUACCUGUUUACAAUAUUUUAUUCAAUUCGGGUGAUGCUCUUCGAAAUUUCCCUUCGCUUUUAAAGAAAAUUCAUGAAACAUUUUUGAAAACCAAUUAUUCUUUAAACUCGCUCUUCUUUUGCAUAACAUGUUCAUUAUACUUAAUGUAAUUAACUGUAAAUAAAAAAUAAAGUUGAAUUGAACGUU